UUUAGCGGGGCUUAUGUCGAAAGAAAUUUCAAAAUCGACUUCUAGUGUUACCUUGAAGCAAGGAAACAGUUCAGUAAGAUUAUGUCUCCUAACAUGUUACCUAAACAUUAGAAAGAAUGAGAUUUGGUUGCUGACUGCUGAGUGAUAGAUUUGGUUGUAAGAAGAAAUUGGUAUAUGUUUAUUUAAUUAGCUUUCUAAAUCUUUAUUUCAGAGCUCCAACACUUCAAGAUGUGAGGGAUCCGAAGUGGAAGUAUGGAAUGGCAAUAACACUCAAUUUUAAGGUAAGUUGUUAUGUUCCUCAUGUCUCUUUUUUCAUAAAUAGUGAAGUAAUUUUCUCUUUAUUUUCUCUUGCUUCAUGCAUAUGCUGAUAUGCACAGGUCUUUGAGUUACAAAAGUCGUAACUGCAAAUCCGUAAUCCAAGAACAAAUCCAACGUCAAGUGGUAAAAUCUCUCUGUCUCUCUUCUCAAAGUACAAAAAUUAACAUAAACAUCAAAACCAAAAAAAAUAAAAAUAAUUACCACAAACACCCAACACAAAAACAACAACAUACCCACGAGGCCACGACAAAACAAAAACUCCAAACUCAAACUACUUAAACUUCACUUGCCCACGAAACACACAAUAAUCGACAAAAAAAAAAUUCCAAACGCACACUAAAAACUUCUCACGGCCACGAAACACACAAGAAUCGACAAAAACACCACACUCGCACUAAAAAUUCGCAUGACCACGAAAUACAACACAAACACUACUUUUGUUUUUCGUUAUUUUGGUUGAUGAAACAUACAUUAAUUUGUAACCUUAUUUUAUGUAAAAUUCAUUUUCUCUGGAUGUAAGAUUUU
rnacentral:lncRNA from 1 species